AUUGAACGCUGGCGGCAGGCCUAACACAUGCAAGUCGAGCGGAUGAAGGGAGCUUGCUCCUGGAUUCCGCGUCGGACGGGUGAGUAAUGCCUAGGAAUCUGCCUGGUCGUGGGGGAUGACGUCCGGAAACGGGCGCUCAUACCGCAUACGUCCUGAGGGUGAAAGUGGGUGGUCAUCGGACCUCACGCUAUCAGAUGAGCCUAGGUCGGAUUAGCUAGUUGGUGGGGUAAAUGCCUACCAAGGCGACGAUCCGUAACUGGUCUGAGAGGAUGAUCAGUCACCCGGGAACGUAGACACGGACCAGACGCCUACGGGAGGCACCAGUGGGGAAUAUUGGACAAUGGGCGAAAGCCUGAUCCAGCCAGGCGGAGUGUGUUAAGAAGGUCUUCGGAUUGUAAAGCACUUUAUGUUGGUAUGAAGCGCAUUAAGUUAAUACCUUGCUGUUUUGACGUUACCAACUGAAUAAGCACCGGCUAACUUCGUG
rnacentral:rRNA from 1 species